rnacentral:lncRNA from 1 species
UCCUUCACCAAAAUCGAAUCAAUAUAUCCAAGGUCAUCUGGGAUUGGUUAACUGAGCUUUAACUGUUCUCACAUGAAACAAGAUUAUCAGGCACAUGUAUAAAUCUUAUGCACUUUCAAGAUCGUCAAAUUUACUGUUGGUGCUUCCUCGUAGAACAAUAGUGGAAACAGGAUUCCCACCUUGGUCAUUUUUUAUGACCGUUACCUAUAAAAUUUCGAGAAUAUCAACAAUGGCAUAAGCUAUACAUUUGAGAGAUUAAAACAACUAAUGAAUCGUCAAACUAAUGUGUUUAUACCCUAAUCCCGUCUAUUUCCUUCAUCGAAAUCGAAUCAAUAUAUCCAAGGUCAUCUAGGAUUGGUUAACUGAGUUUUAACUGUUCUCACAUGAAACAAGAUCAUCAGGCACAUGUAUAAAUCUUAUGCACUUUCAAGAUCGUCAAAUAUGCUGUCAGUGCUUCCUCGUUGAACAAUACUGGAAACAGGAUUCCCACCUUGGUCAUUUUUUAUGAUUGUUGCCUAUAAAAUUUCGAGAAUAUCAACAAUGGCAUAAGCUAUACAUUUGAGAGAUUAAAACAACUAAUGAAUCUUCAAACUAAUGUGUUUAUAUCCUAAUCCCGUCUAUUUCCUUCAUCGAAAUCGAAUCAAUAUAUCCAAGGUCAUCUAGGAUUAGUUAACUGAGCUUUAACUGUUCUCACAUGAAACAAGAUCAUUAGGCACAUGUAUAAAUCUUAUGCACUUUCAAGAUCGUCAAAUAUACUGUCGGUGCUUCCUCGUAGAACAAUAGUGGAAACAGGAUUCCCACCUUGGUCAUUUUUUAUGAUUGUUCCCUAUAAAAUUUCGAGAAUAUCAACAAUGGC